AGGGAAUUUUCCGCAAUGGGCGAAAGCCUGACGGAGCAACGCCGCGUGAGUGAAGACGGCCUUCGGGUUGUAAAGCUCUGUUCUUGGGGAAGAAAAAAAUGACGGUACCCAAGGAGAAAGCCCCGGCUAACUACGUGCCAGCAGCCGCGGUAAUACGUAGGGGGCGAGCGUUAUCCGGAUUUAUUGGGCGUAAAGCGCGCGCAGGCGGUCAGGUAAGUCGGAUGUGAAAGGCUACGGAUCAACCGUAGAGCGGCAUCCGAAACUGUUUGACUUGAGUGCAGGGGAGGAGAGUGGAAUUCCCGGGGUAGCGGUGGAAUGCGUAGAGAUCGGGAGGAACACCAGUGGCGAAGGCGACUCUCUGGACUGUAACUGACGCUGAGGCGCGAAAGCGUGGGGAGCAAAC
rnacentral:rRNA from 1 species